GAUGAACGCUGGCGGCGUGCCUAAUACAUGCAAGUCGAGCGAACGGACGAGAAGCUUGCUUCUCUGAUGUUAUCGGCGGACGGGUGAGUAACACGUGGAUAACCUACCUAUAAGACUGGGAUAACUUCGGGAAACCGGAGCUAAUACCGGAUAAUAUUUUGAACCGCAUGGUUCAAAAGUGAAAGACGGUCUUGCUGUCACUUAUAGAUGGAUCCGCGCUGCAUUAGCUAGUUGGUAAGGUAACGGCUUACCAAGGCAACGAUGAAUAGCCGACCUGAGAGGGUGACCGGCCACACUGGAACUGAGACACGGUCCAGACUCCUACGGGAGGCAGCAGUAGGGAAUCUUCCGCAAUGGGCGAAAGCCUGACGGAGCAACGCCGCGUGAGUGAUGAAGGUCUUCGGAUCGUAAAACUCUGUUAUUAGGGAAGAACAUAUGUGUAAGUAACUGUGCACAUCUUGACGGUACCUAAUCAGAAAGCCACGGCUAACUACGUG
rnacentral:rRNA from 1 species